GAAUCCAUGCUGGAGAAGUAGGACACAAGCUCAAAACUUAGAUUUGGCACUCUCUGAUUUUUUUUCUUUCAUAAAUACUUAUAAGAAAAGAAAAGAAAAAAUGUAAAAUGCAAUGAGUUGGUGGAUAAAUUAAAAAAUCAACUUAUACACAAAGAAAAGAAGUUAUAAAAAUUAAGGGCAUAAAUUAAUUUACUUUACCUUAUUAUCUUAUCUUAUAAGUGUUUAUGAAAAAUUUAAUCGAAGACGUCAAGCAUGUGUCCUGCUUCUCCAGCGUGGUUCA
rnacentral:miRNA from 1 species